UGUGUGUUUGACAGAUUUCUGACAGCGACAGCGAUGGUGAGGGAAGCAGUGUACCGAACUCUCAGAUGACUCGGACCAGGUGACCAAACCCAUGCAAAACACAAUGGAGAUUAACAAGAGGCUGGAUGCUGCGUCCAUCACCAGAGGGGCCGGGAUUGCUGCGGCAGCUAGCCAAUUAAAGGAGGAGGAUGAAGGAGAGGAGUCUGACGAUGCAGACAUCGCCAUCGUAUGCAGGCCACGCCCUCGCAGGAAAACCAGCCAAUGAAAACGCUCGCAGCAGCAUCAGCAGAACACACCGGCACGACUGACAGAGCUUCUGAAGCAUGCAGUGGAAGAGCUGUCAGUCAAGCUAAAGGUCCCGCCCUCCAACCUGCUGCUGCUGCACGGAGAGGCGGAACUUAACACCUCACACACUAUUGGCCAGCUAGGACUCUGCAUCGCUGACAUCAUUGUCUGGAACCAACUUCACAUCCCUCUUCACUGCACUACUGACACUGAGAUGGAAUCCACAACCCAACCACUAGUGGUCUGCAUUGGGAACCUGAAGAGUCUGUCAUCACCGCCAGGAAUGACCGCGUGACCAUUCCCGUUGCAGACGGCCUGACUUGCACAAUUGACAAGCUGUUCAAGCUUUACUGGGUCUGCAACUUGUCAUAUCCAGCACAGCUCAGCUCUGUUUUCACCUUCUUUGAAUAUGUUUAUGACGUUCCAUCUCAACCAACAAACGACCAAAGGUACUAGAACUUCUCUCAAAGCUUCCCAGCAACCCAGUGAUCACUCAACAUGUGUUUAUGCCCAAAAUGUAAAUAGUUACUACAGACAUCAAGAAAGUAGUUUGGCAUCUUUGUCAAGUACACGCUUUGUCAGAUGCACAGGGCAUGACGAUAAUUUGCAGCCAAGAUGGCUGUUCAAGUGUACAAGGACUUACUACGUAGACACCACCAGUCCACAACAACAGA